rnacentral:rRNA from 1 species
UACAGAGGGUGCAAACGUUGCUCGGAAUUACUGGGCGUAAAGCGCGUGUAGGCGGACCUGUAAGUUGGAUGUGAAAGCCCUGGGCUCAACCCAGGAAUUGCAUACAAAACUACAGGCCUAGAGUGAUGGAGAGGGCAGCAGAAUUCCUGGUGUAGAGGUGAAAUUCGUAGAUAUCAGGAGGAACACCGGUGGCGAAGGCGGCUGCCUGGACAUCAACUGACGCUGAGACGCGAAAGCGUGGGGAGCGAACAGG